UGAGUCGAGUUGUUUGGGAUUGCAGCUCAAAUUGUACGGUGGUAAAUUCCAUCUCAAGCUAAAUACACACAAGAGACCAAUAGCGAACAAGUACCGUGAGGGAAAGAUGAAAAGAACUUUGAAAAGAGAGUGAAAGAGUACCUGAAAUUGCUGAAAAGGAAGCGAACGAAGCUAGUGACAGCUGCGUCAUACUUUCCAACUUGCUWGCAAUUUGGACGCUGUGGCCAGCCCUGUUGGGCUUGAUUGCGACAGGUGAAAACAGGCAAUGAAAAGAUUCCAUUUUCGCUCGCCUCUUGCACCAGUCGCAUUUGAGCUGAACGAAAUAGAUUUGUUUGCCCCGUCUAGAAACACGGACCAAGGAGUCUAACAUAUGUGCGAGUACUGGGGUGGCAAACCUUGGUGCGCAAUGAAAGUGUCAGAGGCUGRAAUGUCRUAACAAGCAUUGCACAGUCCGCCGGCCCC
rnacentral:rRNA from 1 species